rnacentral:rRNA from 1 species
UACAGAGGGUGCAAGCGUUAUCCGGAUUCACUGGGUUUAAAGGGUGCGUAGGCGGGCUUGUAAGUCAGUGGUGAAAGCCCGGAGCUUAACUCCGGAACUGCCAUUGAUACUGCAAGUCUUGAGUACACUUGAGGUGGGCGGAAUACAUCAUGUAGUGGUGAAAUACUUAGAUAUGAUGUAGAACACCGAUUGCGAAGGCAGCUCACUAAAUUGUAACUGACGCUGAGGCACGAAAGCGUGGGGAUCAAACAGG